rnacentral:rRNA from 1 species
CCUACGGGUGGCAGCAGUGAGGAAUAUUGGUCAAUGGCCGGAAGUCUGAACCAGCCAAGCCGCGUGAAGGACGACGGUGCCAAGCAUUGUAAACUUCUUUUGUCCAGGGACAACAUCCGGCUCGAGAACCUGACCGAAGGUACUUUAAGAAAACGCAUCGGCUAACUCCGUGCCAGCAGCCGCGGUAAUCCGGAGGAUACGAGCGUUAUCCGGAUUUAUUGGGUUUAAAGGGUGCGUAGGCGGGCUGUUACGUCCGGGUGAAAAGCCCGGGGCUAAACCCCGGCGAGCCGUUGAAACUGGCUGUCUUGAGAUGUGGAGAGGUAGGCGGAAUGCGCAGUGUAGCGGUGAAAUGCUUAGAUAUUGGGCAGAACUCCGAUUGCGAAGGCAGCAGACCGGCGGCGAUCUGACGCUGAGGCACGAAAGCGUGGGUAUCGAACAGGAUUAGAUACCCCUGUAGUC